rnacentral:lncRNA from 1 species
CUGUACAUGUCCUUGCACUGGCACGUGAAUGAGUCUGACCCACAGGAGUCCUGCCUGGAGACAGAGGGAUGUAGGACAGUGAGAGUCCAGGGGAAAGGGAAAGCGCGGAGGAGCGAGUGGCCAGGUGAUACUGUCGUCAGAGGGGCUCCUGAGAUGCCGACUCCAAGAGGCAGGGCUGCGACACAAAGAAC